UACGUAGGGGGCAAGCGUUGUCCGGAUUUAUUGGGCGUAAAGGGCUCGUAGGCGGUCUGUCGCGUCGGGAGUGAAAACUCAGGGCUUAACCCUGAGCCUGCUUCCGAUACGGGCAGACUAGAGGUAUGCAGGGGAGAACGGAAGUUCCUGGUGUAGCGGUGAAAUGCGCAGAUAUCAGGAGGAACACCGAUGGCGAAGGCAGGUCUCUGGGCCACUACUGACGCUGAGAAGCGAAAGCAUGGGGAGCGAACAGG
rnacentral:rRNA from 1 species